AGAAGCCUUAGGUCUAAACCUGAGGUUGAAGCCGGGCAUGGCUGAGAGGGUUUUCAUCCAGGAUCGAGCAGGGAGGAUAGCUGGGGAGACACCUGAGCUGACCUUGGAGCAGCCGCCCCAGGAUGCAUCCACCAAGAAGCUGAGCGAGUGUCUCCGGCGAAUGGAGAUGAACUGGACAGCAAUAUGAAGCUGCAGAGGAUGAUUGCUGACGUGGACAUGGACUACCCCCGAGAGGUCUUCUUCCGGGUGGCAGCUGACAUGUUUGCUGAUGACAACUUCAACUGGGACCGAGUGGUUGCCCUUUUCUACUUUGCUAGCAAACUGGUGCUCAAGGCCCUGUGCACUAAAGUGCCCGAGCUGAUCAGAACCAUCAUGGGCUGGACACUGGACUUCCUCCGUGAGCGGCUGCUUGUCUGGAUCCAAGACCAGGGUGGCUGGGAAGGCCUCCUCUCCUACUUCGGGAGACCCACAUGGCAGACAGUGACCAUCUUUGUGGCUGGAGUCCUCACCGCCUCGCUCACCACCUGGAAGAAGAUGGGCUGAGGCCUCCCACUGCCUUGGACUGUGUCUUUUCUUCAUAAAUUAUGACAUUUUCCUGGGAUGAAUGGGGGAAGGGGAAAGGCAUUUUUCUUACUUUUGUAAUUAUUGGGACGGGUGGGAAUGGUGGCCUGGGGAGGCACCAAUA